rnacentral:rRNA from 1 species
GACGAACGCUGGCGGCGUGCUUAACACAUGCAAGUCGAACGGAAAGGCCCUGCUUUUGUGGGGUGCUCGAGUGGCGAACGGGUGAGUAACACGUGAGUAACCUGCCCUUGACUUUGGGAUAACUUCAGGAAACUGGGGCUAAUACCGGAUAGGAGCUCCUGCUGCAUGGUGGGGGUUGGAAAGUUUCGGCGGUUGGGGAUGGACUCGCGGCUUAUCAGCUUGUUGGUGGGGUAGUGGCUUACCAAGGCUUUGACGGGUAGCCGGCCUGAGAGGGUGACCGGCCACAUUGGGACUGAGAUACGGGCCGGACUCCUACGGGAGGCAGCAGGGGGGAAUAUUGCACAAUGGGCGGAAGCCUGAUGCAGCAACGCCGCGUGCGGGAUGACGGCCUUCGGGUUGUAAACCGCUUUCGCCUGUGACGAAGCGUGAGUGACGGUAAUGGGUAGAGAAGCACGGGCUAACUACGUG